GAUGAACGCUGGCGGCGUGCCUAAUACAUGCAAGUCGAGCGAACAGAUGAGGAGCUUGCUCCUCUGACGUUAGCGGCGGACGGGUGAGUAACACGUGGAUAACCUACCUAUAAGACUGGGAUAACUUCGGGAAACCGGAGCUAAUACCGGAUAAUAUAUUGAACCGCAUGGUUCAAUAGUGAAAGACGGUUUUGCUGUCACUUAUAGAUGGAUCCGCGCCGCAUUAGCUAGUUGGUAAGGUAACGGCUUACCAAGGCAACGAUGCGUAGCCGACCUGAGAGGGUGAUCGGUCACACUGGAACUGAGACACGGUCCAGACUCCUACGGGAGGCAGCAGUAGGGAAUCUUCCGCAAUGGGCGAAAGCCUGACGGAGCAACGCCGCGUGAGUGAUGAAGGUCUUCGGAUCGUAAAACUCUGUUAUUAGGGAAGAACAAAUGUGUAAGUAACUAUGCACGUCUUGACGGUACCUAAUCAGAAAGCCACGGCUAACUACGUG
rnacentral:rRNA from 1 species